UUAAGCGACUAAGCGUACACGGUGGAUGCCCUGGCAGUCAGAGGCGAUGAAGGACGUGCUAAUCUGCGAUAAGCGUCGGUAAGGUGAUAUGAACCGUUAUAACCGGCGAUUUCCGAAUGGGGAAACCCAGUGUGUUUCGACACACUAUCAUUAACUGAAUCCAUAGGUUAAUGAGGCGAACCGGGGGAACUGAAACAUCUAAGUACCCCGAGGAAAAGAAAUCAACCGAGAUUCCCCCAGUAGCGGCGAGCGAACGGGGAGCAGCCCAGAGCCUGAAUCAGUGUGUGUGUUAGUGGAAGCGUCUGGAAAGGCGCGCGAUACAGGGUGACAGCCCCGUACACAAAAAUGCACAUAUUGUGAGCUCGAUGAGUAGGGCGGGACACGUGGUAUCCUGUCUGAAUAUGGGGGGACCAUCCUCCAAGGCUAAAUACUCCUGACUGACCGAUAGUGAACCAGUACCGUGAGGGAAAGGCGAAAAGAACCCCGGCGAGGGGAGUGAAAAAGAACCUGAAACCGUGUACGUACAAGCAGUGGGAGCCUCUUUUAUGGGGUGACUGCGUACCUUUUGUAUAAUGGGUCAGCGACUUAUAUUCUGUAGCAAGGUUAACCGAAUAGGGGAGCCGAAGGGAAACCGAGUCUUAACUGGGCGUUAAGUUGCAGGGUAUAGACCCGAAACCCGGUGAUCUAGCCAUGGGCAGGUUGAAGGUUGGGUAACACUAACUGGAGGACCGAACCGACUAAUGUUGAAAAAUUAGCGGAUGACUUGUGGCUGGGGGUGAAAGGCCAAUCAAACCGGGAGAUAGCUGGUUCUCCCCGAAAGCUAUUUAGGUAGCGCCUCGUGAAUUCAUCUCCGGGGGUAGAGCACUGUUUCGGCAAGGGGGUCAUCCCGACUUACCAACCCGAUGCAAACUGCGAAUACCGGAGAAUGUUAUCACGGGAGACACACGGCGGGUGCUAACGUCCGUCGUGAAGAGGGAAACAACCCAGACCGCCAGCUAAGGUCCCAAAGUCAUGGUUAAGUGGGAAACGAUGUGGGAAGGCCCAGACAGCCAGGAUGUUGGCUUAGAAGCAGCCAUCAUUUAAAGAAAGCGUAAUAGCUCACUGGUCGAGUCGGCCUGCGCGGAAGAUGUAACGGGGCUAAACCAUGCACCGAAGCUGCGGCAGCGACGCUGAUGCGUUGUUGGGUAGGGGAGCGUUCUGUAAGCCUGUGAAGGUGUGCUGUGAGGCAUGCUGGAGGUAUCAGAAGUGCGAAUGCUGACAUAAGUAACGAUAAAGCGGGUGAAAAGCCCGCUCGCCGGAAGACCAAGGGUUCCUGUCCAACGUUAAUCGGGGCAGGGUGAGUCGACCCCUAAGGCGAGGCCGAAAGGCGUAGUCGAUGGGAAACAGGUUAAUAUUCCUGUACUUGGUGUUACUGCGAAGGGGGGACGGAGAAGGCUAUGUUGGCCGGGCGACGGUUGUCCCGGUUUAAGCGUGUAGGCUGGUUUUCCAGGCAAAUCCGGAAAAUCAAGGCUGAGGCGUGAUGACGAGGCACUACGGUGCUGAAGCAACAAAUGCCCUGCUUCCAGGAAAAGCCUCUAAGCAUCAGGUAACAUCAAAUCGUACCCCAAACCGACACAGGUGGUCAGGUAGAGAAUACCAAGGCGCUUGAGAGAACUCGGGUGAAGGAACUAGGCAAAAUGGUGCCGUAACUUCGGGAGAAGGCACGCUGAUACGUAGGUGAAGUCCCUCGCGGAUGGAGCUGAAAUCAGUCGAAGAUACCAGCUGGCUGCAACUGUUUAUUAAAAACACAGCACUGUGCAAACACGAAAGUGGACGUAUACGGUGUGACGCCUGCCCGGUGCCGGAAGGUUAAUUGAUGGGGUCAGCGCAAGCGAAGCUCUUGAUCGAAGCCCCGGUAAACGGCGGCCGUAACUAUAACGGUCCUAAGGUAGCGAAAUUCCUUGUCGGGUAAGUUCCGACCUGCACGAAUGGCGUAAUGAUGGCCAGGCUGUCUCCACCCGAGACUCAGUGAAAUUGAACUCGCUGUGAAGAUGCAGUGUACCCGCGGCAAGACGGAAAGACCCCGUGAACCUUUACUAUAGCUUGACACUGAACAUUGAGCCUUGAUGUGUAGGAUAGGUGGGAGGCUUGGAAGUGUGGACGCCAGUCUGCAUGGAGCCGACCUUGAAAUACCACCCUUUAAUGUUUGAUGUUCUAACGUUGACCCGUAAUCCGGGUUGCGGACAGUGUCUGGUGGGUAGUUUGACUGGGGCGGUCUCCUCCUAAAGAGUAACGGAGGAGCACGAAGGUUGGCUAAUCCUGGUCGGACAUCAGGAGGUUAGUGCAAUGGCAUAAGCCAGCUUGACUGCGAGCGUGACGGCGCGAGCAGGUGCGAAAGCAGGUCAUAGUGAUCCGGUGGUUCUGAAUGGAAGGGCCAUCGCUCAACGGAUAAAAGGUACUCCGGGGAUAACAGGCUGAUACCGCCCAAGAGUUCAUAUCGACGGCGGUGUUUGGCACCUCGAUGUCGGCUCAUCACAUCCUGGGGCUGAAGUAGGUCCCAAGGGUAUGGCUGUUCGCCAUUUAAAGUGGUACGCGAGCUGGGUUUAGAACGUCGUGAGACAGUUCGGUCCCUAUCUGCCGUGGGCGCUGGAGAACUGAGGGGGGCUGCUCCUAGUACGAGAGGACCGGAGUGGACGCAUCACUGGUGUUCGGGUUGUCAUGCCAAUGGCACUGCCCGGUAGCUAAAUGCGGAAGAGAUAAGUGCUGAAAGCAUCUAAGCACGAAACUUGCCCCGAGAUGAGUUCUCCCUGACCCUUUAAGGGUCCUGAAGGAACGUUGAAGACGACGACGUUGAUAGGCCGGGUGUGUAAGCGCAGCGAUGCGUUGAGCUAACCGGUACUAAUGAACCGUGAGGCUUAACCUU
rnacentral:rRNA from 1 species